rnacentral:rRNA from 1 species
GAUGAACGCUGGCGGCGUGCUUAACACAUGCAAGUCGAACGGAAAGGCCCAAGCUUGCUUGGGUACUCGAGUGGCGAACGGGUGAGUAACACGUGGGUGAUCUGCCCUGCACUUCGGGAUAAGCCUGGGAAACUGGGUCUAAUACCGGAUAGGACGAUGGUUUGGAUGCCAUUGUGGAAAGUUUUUUCGGUGUGGGAUGAGCUCGCGGCCUAUCAGCUUGUUGGUGGGGUAAUGGCCUACCAAGGCGUCGACGGGUAGCCGGCCUGAGAGGGUGUACGGCCACAUUGGGACUGAGAUACGGCCCAGAGUCCUACGGGAGGCAGCAGUGGGGAAUAUUGCACAAUGGGCGCAAGCCUGAGGCAGCGACGCCGCGUGGGGGAUGACGGCCUUCGGGUUGUAAACUCCUUUCGCUAGGGACGAAGCGUUUUUGUGACGGUACCUGGAGAAGAAGCACCGGCUAACUACGUG